AUUGACGCUGGCGGCAGGCCUAACACAUGCAAGUCGAGCGGAUGAAGGGAGCUUGCUCCUGGAUUCAGCGGCGGACGGGUGAGUAAUGCCUAGGAAUCUGCCUGGUAGUGGGGGAUAACGUCCGGAAACGGGCGCUAAUACCGCAUACGUCCUGAGGGAGAAAGUGGGGGAUCUUCGGACCUCACGCUAUCAGAUGAGCCUAGGUCGGAUUAGCUAGUUGGUGGGGUAAAGGCCUACCAAGGCGACGAUCCGUAACUGGUCUGAGAGGAUGAUCAGUCACACUGGAACUGAGACACGGUCCAGACUCCUACGGGAGGCAGCAGUGGGGAAUAUUGGACAAUGGGCGAAAGCCUGAUCCAGCCAUGCCGCGUGUGUGAAGAAGGUCUUCGGAUUGUAAAGCACUUUAAGUUGGGAGGAAGGGCAGUAAGUUAAUACCUUGCUGUUUUGACGUUACCAACAGAAUAAGCACCGGCUAACUUCGUGCCAGCAGCCGCGGUAAUACGAAGGGUGCAAGCGUUAAUCGGAAUUACUGGGCGUAAAGCGCGCGUAGGUGGUUCAGCAAGUUGGAUGUGAAAU
rnacentral:rRNA from 1 species